rnacentral:rRNA from 1 species
UACGUAGGGUGCAAGCGUUGUCCGGAAUUAUUGGGCGUAAAGAGCUUGUAGGCGGUUUGUCGCGUCUGCUGUGAAAUUUCGGGGCUCAACCCCGAACUUGCAGUGGGUACGGGCAGACUAGAGUGUGGUAGGGGAGACUGGAAUUCCUGGUGUAGCGGUGAAAUGCGCAGAUAUCAGGAGGAACACCGAUGGCGAAGGCAGGUCUCUGGGCCACUACUGACGCUGAGGGACGAAAGCUAGGGGAGCGAAUGGG